AUGAGUGGGAGCCAGGAGUGGAGCAGAAGGGGAACAGGGACCCAUAUUCAAGUCCACAAGAGUAACACAUUCCCAGGAGCCAUGAAACUGAGCCUCCCUCUCACCAGGGACCAGACGUCAGCCUGUGACUUCUCUAAGCUCUGCCAGGGGCAGUGUGUUUUGUCCCUGUGGUUCCUGUGGGGUGUGGAACUCUGGCUCUUUUACCCCACAGCACCUCCCACAGUCAGCUCCUUACCAACAGGGUUUUUUGAGGAACACUGUAAGAGAUUUUUUGGAGGAAAAGUGCUUUUCCCUCAAGGUUGGCAGCACCAAGCCCCUUAAGAAGGAGACUUCAGGGGCAUCUUCCUUUCAGAGCUCCUGCUCUGUGCUUCAUCUCGGGACCAGAACCAGGUGUGUGUGUGUGAGGGAAUCCCUUAGGACUAGCAGUUUAAAAUGUCCCCAGUGGUUCCCAAUUCCCUAGACCAGUUCAGGUAGCCCCAAGGACACGAGAUAAGCAACGAAAAUAGGGACAUGAUAAGGUGGUGCCUCCACCGAGAAGUGAGCAGGUGGUUGGUGGUUGAUAUUAACCUCAGUACCCCCAUGGUCCACGGGUGAGCUCAGUGGGGCUCAAACAUUUCUGCACCCCCACCCCAAACCACCUGGGCACUGGAAUAAAUGCAGAUUCCAGAGAGCCAGGCUGACGCACCGACACAGAAGGUCUGAAAUGCACACUCCUUGUACCUACUUCUACUGAGAAGCCCAGAAAAUGCAAGCGACUGCCCAUGGCCUUGAUUCCAAGGGUUGCUGGUGAGAGACAGCACUGCCACCAGUCACUCCCCAUUGCCAGGCUUUAUGCGGCAUCACGAGGAGGAGGAAUUGGAGAAAAAGGUGACAGUCUUGUGGCUGGACGCCACACCAGUGACUGCCUGAAACUGAGAUUCCUUCCAUGACCUCCAAAUGAGUUUAUGUGUAGAUGUAACUGCAGAGAUGAACCAGUGGGAUUGGCAGAAGAUAGCAUGGAGCAAAUUCAAACUUUUGUGCCACUACCAGAUUAUAGGACUCACAAGCGAC
rnacentral:lncRNA from 1 species